UUUAUAUAUGUUUCCCUUUGGCAGAGUUAUCAGAAAGCACAGCAUUGAUUUUCACUGCUACGCAGACGAUACACAACUUUACAUUUCUGUGUCACCAAAGGAUUGUAGCUCCACGGAUAAAUUAUUGGACUGUAUUAGUGAUUUAAACACUUGGAUGGCUAACAACUUCCUCCAUCUAAAUCAAGACAAGACUGAGGUUCUUAUUUUUGGAGCCAAAGCACUGAGAGAGAAUCUGGCCGCACAUUUUAAUUCACGGGCAAUAAAGUUAAAACACCAGGUAAAAAACCUUGAUGUCAUUUUAGAUUCUCAAUUUCGAAACACACAUUAGGAAUGUGACCAAAUAACUUUUUACCACAUGAAGAACAUUGCCAAAGUGCGUCCGUUUCUCUCUCAGGCUGAUACAGACAGACUCAUCCAUGCUUUUAUUACCAGCAGGCUUGACUGCUGUAAUGCUCUCCUGCCUGGUCUACCCACGAAAGCAAUUGGUCUGCAAUACAUACAGAAUGCUACAGCAUGGAUACUGACCAAGACCAGACAGAGAGCACACAUUACACCGGUUUUAAGGUCUCUGCAUUACAUUACACCGGUUUUAAGGUCUCUGCAUUACAUUACACCGGUUUUAAGGUCUCUGCAUUUCAUUACACCGGUUUUAAGGUCUCUGCAUUACAUUACACCGGUUUUAAGGUCUCUGCAUUACAUUACACUGGUUUUAAGGUCUCUGCAUUUCAUUACACCGGUUUUAAGGUCUCUGCAUUUCAUUACACCGGUUUUAAGGUCUCUGCAUUUCAUUACACCGGUUUUAAGGUCUCUGCAUUACAUUACACCGGUUUUAAGGUCUCUGCAUUACAUUACACUGGUUUUAAGGUCUCUGCAUUUCAUUACACCGGUUUUAAGGUCUCUGCAUUACAUUACACCGGUUUUAAGGUCUCUGCAUUUCAUUACACCGGUUUUAAGGUCUCUGCAUUUCAUUACACCGGUUUUAAGGUCUCUGCAUUACAUUACACCGGUUUUAAGGUCUCUGCAUUACAUUACACCGGUUUUAAGGUCUCUGCAUUUCAUUACACCGGUUUUAAGGUCUCUGCAUUACAUUACACCGGUUUUAAGGUCUCUGCACUCGCUGCCUGUGAGUUUUAAAAUUAAUUUAAAGAUUCUUCUAUUGAUUUUUAAAUUAAUCCACGAUUGUACAUCCACUACAUGUCAGACAUACCUUUUAGUUAUGUAUCCAGUAGGUCCCUCAGGUCCUCUGGCACUGACCUUUUAACUAUCCCAAAGCCUAGGACCAAGAGGCAUGGAGAAGUAGCCUUUAGUUACUAUGCCCCUAGCAAAAUAACUAAACUGUGGACAUAUUUAAAGGAGAUCUUAACACACAUUUUUUAUCCUCGAUUUUCCUUUGGGGAAAAUGAUCCUCUUAUGUUUGUUGUGUAGUUAAUAUUGAUGUGUUUAUUUUAAUUGUUUUUUAUUCGUUUUAUUCCUGUGAUGCACAUUGCGUUGAUUUCCAUGUCUGAAAUGUGCUGUAUAAAUAAAGCUUGAUUUGA